UACGUAGGGGGCAAGCGUUGUCCGGAUUUAUUGGGCGUAAAGAGCGUGUAGGCGGCCAUGCAGGUCCGUUGUGAAAACUCGAGGCUCAACCUCGAGACGCCGAUGGAAACCGCAUGGCUAGAGUCCGGAAGAGGAGAGUGGAAUUCCUGGUGUAGCGGUGAAAUGCGCAGAUAUCAGGAAGAACACCCGUGGCUAAGGCGGCUCUCUAGUACGGUACUGAC
rnacentral:rRNA from 1 species